CCUACGGGAGGCAGCAGUAGGGAAUCUUCCACAAUGGGCGAAAGCCUGAUGGAGCAACGCCGCGUGGGUGAAGAAGGUCUUCGGAUCGUAAAACCCUGUUGUUAGAGAAGAAAGUGCGUGAGAGUAACUGUUCACGUUUCGACGGUAUCUAACCAGAAAGCCACGGCUAACUACGUGCCAGCAGCCGCGGUAAUACGUAGGUGGCAAGCGUUAUCCGGAUUUAUUGGGCGUAAAGGGAACGCAGGCGGUCUUUUAAGUCUGAUGUGAAAGCCUUCGGCUUAACCGGAGUAGUGCAUUGGAAACUGGGAGACUGGAGUGCAGGAGAGGAGAGUAGAACUCCAUGUGUAGCGGUGAAAUGCGUAGAUAUAUGGAGGAACACCAGUGGCGAAAGCGGCUCUCUGGUCUGUAACUGACGCUGAGGUUCGAAAGCGUGGGUAGCAAACAGGAUUAGAUACCCGGGUAGUC
rnacentral:rRNA from 1 species